AGGGGCUUAGGAUAAUAUCUUAAACCGAAGGCCUUCAAAGCCCUAAAUGGGAGUGAAAAUCUCUCAGUCCCUG
rnacentral:tRNA from 1 species